CGGCACCCCUCCUCGGAGGGAAGCGAGUGGCGAACGGCUGAGUAACACGUGGAGAACCCGCCCCCUCCUCCGGGAUAGCCUCGGGAAACCGUGGGUAAUACCGGAUGACCCCGCAGGGCCGCAUGGCCCCGCGGGCAAAGCCCAGACGGGAGGGGAUGGCUCCGCGGCCCAUCAGGUAGACGGCGGGGUGACGGCCCACCGUGCCGACGACGGGUAGCCGGGUUGAGAGACCGACCGGCCAGAUUGGGACUGAGACACGGCCCAG
rnacentral:rRNA from 1 species